AUUGAACGCUGGCGGCAGGCCUAACACAUGCAAGUCGAACGGUAACAGGAAACAGCUUGCUGUUUCGCUGACGAGUGGCGGACGGGUGAGUAAUGUCUGGGAAACUGCCUGAUGGAGGGGGAUAACUACUGGAAACGGUAGCUAAUACCGCAUAACGUCGCAAGACCAAAGAGGGGGACCUUCGGGCCUCUUGCCAUCGGAUGUGCCCAGAUGGGAUUAGCUUGUUGGUGGGGUAACGGCUCACCAAGGCGACGAUCCCUAGCUGAGCUGAGAGGAAGACCAGCCACACUGGAACUGAGACACGGGCCAGACUCCUACGGGAGGCAGCAGUGGGGAAUAUUGCACAAUGGGCGCAAGCCUGAUGCAGCCAUGCCGCGUGUAUGAAGAAGGCCUUCGGGUUGUAAAGUACUUUCAGCGGGGAGGAAGGGAGUAAAGUUAAUACCUUUAGUGAUUGACGUUACCCGCAGAAGAAGCACCGGCUAACUCCGUGCCAGCCGCCGCGGUAA
rnacentral:rRNA from 1 species